GGAAUCUUCCACAAUGGGCGAAAGCCUGAUGGAGCAACGCCGCGUGCAGGAUGAAGGCCUUCGGGUCGUAAACUGCUUUUAUGAGUGAAGAAUAUGACGGUAACUCAUGAAUAAGCACCGGCUAACUACGUGCCAGCAGCCGCGGUCAUACGUAGGGUGCAAGCAUUAUCCGGAGUGACUGGGCGUAAAGAGUUGCGUAGGUGGUUAGUAAAGUGAAUAGUGAAAUCUGGGGGCUCAACCUCACAGACUAUUAUUCAAACUCACUAACUCGAGAGUGGUAGAGGUAACUGGAAUUUCUAGUGUAGGAGUGAAAUCCGUAGAUAUUAGAAGGAACACCAAUGGCGUAGGCAGGUUACUGGACCAUUUCUGACACUAAGGCACGAAAGCGUGGGGAGCGAA
rnacentral:rRNA from 1 species